rnacentral:rRNA from 1 species
AAUAGAUACCCCGGUAGUCCUGGCAGUAAACGGUGCACGUUUGGUGUGGGCGGGUUCAGACCCCGUCCGUGCCGGAGCUAACGCGUUAAACGUGCCGCCUGGGAAGUACGGUCGCAAGAUUAAAACUCAAAGAAAUUGACGGGGGCCCGCACAAGCGGUGGAGUAUGUGGCUUAAUUCGAUGCAACGCGAAGAACCUUACCUGGUCUUGACAUGCAUUGUGUCUCCGGUGAAAGCCGAAUAGUUGGUAGCAAUAUCAACGCUUUGCACAGGUGCUGCAUGGCUGUCGUCAACUCGUGUCGUGAGAUGUUGGGUUAAGUCCCGCAACGAGCGCAACCCCUGUGUCCUGUUGCCCGCAAGGGAUCUCUGGACAGACUGCCCUGUGAAACGGGGAGGAAGGUGGGGAUGACGUCAAGUCAGUAUGGCCCUUACGGCCAGGGCUGCACACGUACUACAAUGCUCAGUACAGAAUGAACCGAACCCGCGAGGCGGAGGAAAUCUCUAAAACUGAGCCCAGUUCGGAUUGGAGU